rnacentral:rRNA from 1 species
GACGAACGCUGGCGGCGUGCUUAACACAUGCAAGUCGAACGAAGUGGCGAACGGGAGAGUAACGCGGAAUCAACCUGCCCUUCCGAGGGGGACAACAGUUGGAAACGACUGCUAAUACCGCAUACUGAGGGAGGGGAUUGCGUUUGAUUAGGUAGUUGGAGGGGUAACGGCCCACCAAGGCGACGAUCAGUAGCCGGCCUGAGAGGGUGACCGGCCACACUGGGACUGAGACACGGCCCAGACUCCUACGGGAGGCAGCAGUAGGGAAUCUUCGGCAAUGGACGAAAGUCUGACGGAGCAACGCCGCGUGAGUGAUGACGGCCUUCGGGUUGUAAAGCUCUGUUAAUCGGGACGCGGUACCUGAACAGAAAGCCACGGCUAACUACGUGCCAGCAGCCGCGGUAAUUC